GCAAGGCGCGGUGGUGCGUGCCUGCUGUCCCAGUUACUGAGGAGGCUGAGGUGGGAGGAUCGCUUGAGCCCGGAAGUUCUGGGCUGUCGUGCGCUAUGCCGAUCUGGUGUCCACAGUAAGUUCAGCAUCAAUAUGGUGACCUCCUGGGAGCAGGGGACCACCAGGUUGCCUAAGGAGGGGUGAACCGGCCCAGGUCAGAAACAGCAGGUCAAAACUCCCGUGCUGAUCAGUAGUGGGACCGCGCCUGUGAAUAGCCACUGCGCUCCAGCCUGUGCAACACAGCGAGACCCCGUCUCUU
ensembl:misc_RNA Metazoa_SRP Metazoan signal recognition particle RNA